AGCAGUAGCCGCGGUAAUACAGAGGAUGCAAGCGUUAUCCGGAAUGAUUGGGCGUAAAGCGUCUGUAGGUGGCUUUUCAAGUCCGCCGUCAAAUCCCAGGGCUCAACCCUGGACAGGCAGUGGAAACUACCAAGCUGGAGUACGGUAGGGGCAGAGGGAAUUUCCGGUGGAGAGGUGAAAUGCGUUGAGAUUGGAAAGAACACCAACGGUGAAAGCGCUCUGCCGGGCCGACACUGACACUGAGAGACGAAAUCUAGGGGAGCAAAUGGGAUUAGAUACCCCCGUAGUCCCUGUCUCUUAUAC
rnacentral:rRNA from 1 species